ensembl:lncRNA
CAUAGAGAUGGAGACCGGAAGGACUUCUUACGUUACUGCGGAAGCGCGUCCGCCAUGUUCGCUACCGAGGCGGAAGUAAGCGUUGUUGCUUCUUGAGUAGCGAUGGCGGCUUUCUCCCACCUCCCAUGCAGCGCGGCUGGGCUUCCGGUGUGAGCUGCUCCCUGCCCCGCUGUCCUCAAGCUUUGGCCGUCCAGGCUGUGCCUGGCCGAUCCCCUCGUGCCUUCCUCAGCCUUCCUGUGAGCUCCAGCCACCUCCCCAUGCAGACAAGCUGCUGUCAGGGCCUCUGUCACAGAUGGGUCUGAGAACAGAAGGCUUAGCAGGCUUCGGUGGAUCACACGAGGGUAUGUGAUGUCACGUCUACAAAGGAAACUUCUUCCUGGGCAGCCCCUCACACAGCGUGCAACUUCAAAGAGAGCCCACGAGAGGUCUCUGAAGAUGCUGCUAUGCAAGGAGCCCCAGCACCUAACGGCAGAGCACACCCUUCGGAGCCUUCAGAGGAAGCCCUUGGAAGAAGUGGGCCCAGCAGUACAGAGGAACUGUGUCACCUCUUUGGUUUGUGUCUGCUUCCAGCCGUCCAUUGCCACCUCUGAGGAGUUCAGCAGUGUCUGCUGCAGACUGGAUCACAGCAACCUGAAAUCAGCGCAUCCUCCUCUGAUGGUGGAUGGUAUUUGUAGAUGUAUGAAUAUCUACCUGUGAGCCUUAAAUCAGAAGUAACUGUUACACUAAUUUGACUGCUCUGAUCUUUGAAUAAAGGAAAGCCGUAGUGUCUUUGGCCAACAUUGUUCCCUGAACCCUGAGGUGCUUCCUCCCAGUUUGUGAGUAUAGAUGUGAGGUAAAAAUAGCUAUGGGCACAUUUGAUGGACAAAGUCUUCCUUAGAAGACAUGGGUACAGAAGAAGAGAUUCUGGAGGAGUUGAGGUGCCCGAGUUCAGACUGCCACAAAUCCCACCUCAGUCUUGCUACAAUGGCACUGAACUUUCACAGGUCCACAACUUUUGAUUUUAAAGGUCUCUAAAUGAUUGAUUGAUUGCUAAUUAUUAGAGACUUCUCAGUAAUUAUUGGAUGAAAGCUCUCUGCACACUGAACUGGGGAAUAUAUCUCGCUUCUGUUAGGCCUCGGCGUGAGCAGGAUGCUAAACUUCUUAGAUCUGAACUAACUCCAAACGUGUUCAAGACUGGCCCAAACUCUGUAUGUUUACAGAAUCAUAGAAUGGCUGUGGUUGGCAGGGACCUCUGGGCCCAUCUGGUCCAACCCCUGCUCAAGCAGGGAUGCUCAGAGAAGGUCCUGGGCAACCCGGCAUGGCUUUCUCCUUUUCUUGCGCUGGUGAAGGUCCUCACAUGGGCCCUCUGCCUUCUCAUGGUCUUCUGGGAUGAGGAGCACGAGCCUGCCUGAAUUGUUGGGACAGCCACAGCAGCAGAGCCCUGCCUUGGGGUUUCACUGCACAGAGAGAGGGAUGGAGCCUUGGGAGGGUCUCCUCUCAUAGCAUCUCUCGGAAAGAAUGAACGAUUCAUUCAUGAGAGCUUGUAUAGAGAAGGGAGCACCAAUAAAAAUCCAUGGUAUAGCCACUUGUCUGUAAGUGGGAAUUUCUGCAUUCCAGGCCCUGUUUCCAUGAUUGUGAACCAAAGCACCAUCAGAUGAGGGAAAUAAAUAAAUAAGUAAAUAAAUAAAUAAAAGCAACAACAAAAUCUCAAGUCUUUCACCUUCCUAUGCCUGCUCUAAUCAGACCAGCUCAUGACCAAAGACUGCUGUCUUCCUGUGGAACACUGAGCCUUGUACCUCUUGGUGCAUCUCGUGCCACCAUGGACGCGCCCCUGGUUAUUCCUCUGCUGAGCAAUUUGGCUGUUGCAACUCUUAGGGAGAGAUUCUGAAUUGCAUGGGUAACAUGAAAAGCAGGAAAAUUCACCACUUCCCUUAAUGAUUUCCUGAAGUGAUUCAUUAUCCUCGCAGUUCAAAAUGGCACUUUGUUUACUUUUAAUUUCAGCUUAUUUGUCUUUCUACCCAACCAUGGGUAUCUGCAGUGCAUAAUGUGAAAGCCCAUUUUCUCACCAGGUAUUUACACUUUGUAAGCUAGUCUUGUAACUAUCUUUGCAUGAGGCAGGCUCUCCUUCUAACUUAUCAACAUCAGAAGUAUGAGAACUCUCUCACCAUCAACCCCAAUGAGGUGAGCUGGAGAUGUAAGAUCCCUUCCCUCCCCACCCCAGCUUUCAAUGCAGCUGUUGAUAUACCCAAGAAUCACACUGGCUUUCUUCCCCACACCACUGCACUGGGCACUCCAAUGCAGAUGCAAGUCUUGCUGAUUCUUAAAGUCUUUCCAGGGCUGUUGCUUUCCUGGUUAAAAAAAGAUCAUAUAUUCUUUGAUCCAAGAUGAAUGAACACCUUUACUUGUGUUAAAUGCAUCUGGCUUGAAAAGAAAAAUCCCUUCUGGUGUUGCUGGCACAGUCUGUUAGUCAUGACCCCAAAGUAUUGAUGGUACCUGUACAUAUUCUUACUGCGAUGUUGUAUUUACUUGUAGAUCACUCUAAAUGCAGAAUACAGAGACCAGCAUGUUACUUCCUCUGGGGUGCUGUUAGAAAUCCCAGUUCAGUGACUGCUUUUGGAGGCGUCUCUGGGUCUGGCACACACACAAAGGGGUGCAGCUCCUACAGCAAAGUGCCUGUUUUGCAAUCAUAAUGACACUACCGAUCAAACAUGUCAUGAACUCUCCAUCUGUUACAUUUACAGGGCCUCUUUAUGACUGAACUCAAACUCCUGCUGAAGAACAACAGCUCCCCACAAUCCUUGGGCUUCUGUUCUCUGGAGCUUCCCCGUAUCCAGAGAUGUUUUGAACGUUCACACCAGGAGACCAAUAUUCUCUGGCUAUCUCAGUGCUCCAGGAUGCUGGUACUUUGGCAAAUAUGUGUUGAUCUUAAAUGUUGGUCCUUCUCUGAGAUUACCAAAGGACUGCAGAAUGCAUCACUUCCUAAUAGAGAACAGAGACAUUUACAUAAACCUUGUGCCAGUUUGGAGACUUAUUAAUGCUUUUCUCAUCUACUUCCUGGCCUUUGACAUUGUGAAGAUUUCUUACGUUCCUAAUGGAUUUCAAAAAGCCCCUCUUGGUCUUGCCAAGGCAGGGAUUUAUCCCCCUCUUUCCCGUGUCAUAUUUUUGUUCUUUAAAGCUUCUCAUGUAUACUUUUUGCCAUCUCUUCCUCAUUUUUUCCAUUUGUAACAUUAUUUUUAGAUUUAAUUGUUGCUUUCCACUGUUUUUUUUUUUCAGGGUGGGAACUUAGACAAGACAACUUCCUUCCCUGAAUCCCUGGCUCUUGUGCUGUAUCAUCUUCUGCCCACCCUCAGGUACAGAAACACUGCAUGUGAUCUCUGCUUUUAAAGCCAUGUGGGACUGUGAGCAGUACACCAGCAUGUCCUCAAGCUGAGCAGAGAUUUGUGCCCAAAUGGAAAUGUCUGAGCUGGAAUUUUCCCCUCGCCACCCUUCCUGUAAGAACCUGUCUCUUGCCAUCCAGGACAUGGCUUGCACGGCCACAGAACAUUUCCUCCCUUGGGAUGUGUGUGCUUUCAAGGACUGAGCCUCCCACUGGCCUGGUGAUGUUGCAGGGAACUGUCAGCAGUGGCACCCCAGUGCAGGAAUGCUCAGCAUCCAAACAGCAGCCUUAAAAGAAGAUGGUGGGAAGUCUCUGUUUCCUUGAUUGGGAAAAGAACAGAGGUCUGGCCUGGCUGUGACUCAGCUGGUAAGCCAGCAUGGGGCUGCUUUCUGAUGAGGACAUCUCAAAGGGCUGGCUCACCAUCAUGCCCUCUGCACUGCUGUGGUGCCAUAAAACCCUUGUGCUGCUGUGAAACCCUUGUGCUGCUGCUUUUCUGCACGCUCACAGAGUCAUCCCAGCUCUCAGAUUCCUCCCAGCUGCCUCCCACCCCACUGAUUCUUUCGCUGUUUGCCUCUGUGCUCAAUCACAGCUCCUGCACUACUGUCUGCCUUUGCUUCUUGAAGUGUGACAUGACAGCUGCCAAUGGCUUUGCAAUGAGGAAGAGACCUUGUAACUAUUCUCAACAGAGGAAAGUCCAUGAGUCAGCAAGAAUUCCCCGCAAGAAAAGGCACAGGGUGAGAACCUGAACUAGGCCCUUCCUAAGCGCCCAGGAGAGGCCCACAGAGGAACCAUGCCAUCCCCCUGCGGCCCACAGGCACCACGUGAAACACAUCUCCACGUGCAGCCAUGGAGGAGCCCACUGUGCAGCAAUGGAUGAGGCCUGGAGGAGGCACAGCACAUGGAUACCCCUCCAGGAGCAGCCCCGGGUCAGAGCUGCAGCCCAUGGAGAGGAGUCCACAGUGGGGCAGGAGGGCUGGGGGAGCGGCUGCUUGUGGGGCUGUGCUGGAGCAGUUCCCACCCACAACGUGAUGUCAGCCCAAAGGCACUCAGCAAGGGAGGGAGGAGGGUGCUGGGGGCAUGGGUGGCAGUGAAGAGCACACAGCUCUGCUGCUCUGUGUCUUGGGCACACGCUCGUCCCUGUGGAGGAAUUCUUGUUUCUGCAGAAUCAAAUGGUUUCUUUGAGCUCGGACAAAGCAAUUAAUUUUAGCCAUGUGAUGUUUACAUGCAGAUGAGCUGCUGGGCCAUACCUCUCUCGAUAGCUGCAUCCAGUGUUAGGCAAAAAUACCCCACUGUGUGAAUUAUUAGCCAAACAGCUCUGCUAAGAACUAAGCUAAUUUUAUCCUUUUCUCAGUGCUGGCUGACAAUGACUCAGUCCCCGCUUGUCUGGGAGGACUCUCAGUACCUGGAUGCCCGGACACCCAAAUGAGCAUUGGAUCUCCCAUGCAUGGAGGGAAGGGCCUGCUGCCCACACACUGCUGUGGUCUGUCUUGGGUUUUUUUUUUUUUCACUGUUUGUGUAGAUAUGGAACAAAGAAUACCAGUGAAACACCCCACAAACAAGCUCAUCAGGCAGGACGGAGUAGGGAUGCAUGGGGCAUCAGCCACCUGUCCCAGUGUUUGACCAUCCUCAUGGUAAAGAAAUGUUUCCUAAUGUCCAAUCUGAGCCUCCCCUGGCACAGCUCUGUGCCCUUCCUUUCCUGCCACCAGUUCCCAGCAGCAGAGCCGGGCACCUCUGUCUGCCUCCCCUCCUCAGGGAGCUGCACGGAGCCUCCUCUUCUCCACACCAGACAAGUCCAGUUGGAUGAGACUCUUCUGGGUUUAAAAUUUCAGGUACUGGAAGAUUCAAUGUGCAGCUAAAUACUUUUCAUAAACAGGGCUGCAAGGAUCAGAGCAGCCAGCAUGAAAGCAUGGACUCUCCUUGUUUAUUUUGAGUCUCUGAACCAGGAAUGCGAGGAAGAGUUUAUAAGAAGAGCAAACAGCCAUGCAUCAUCCUGACCCAUUUAAAACCCGGCUGAGUUUCCUUUCCAGCAGCAUUUCAGUAGUGCAGCCCUCAAGCUCACUGAAAACAAGGUAAGCCAUAGGGUCAGUUUCCACAUCCUCCAAAGAUGCUGUAUUGAUUUAUGACAAUUUCAUAACUAAGAGCAUUCCAGCUGCUGUCAACAGACUGCAAUCCCUCUUAACCCACAAUAGCCCACCUAUAGCUACUGACCCUGCACUCUGCAAUGUGUUUAUCCAGUCUCGAGGCAAUGCGGGGUCAGCAGUGGUCUCAAACACCCGCAUUGUUCCUUUUGGGUGUGGGCAGAAAUCAGUUCACUCGGAGUCAAGUGAAAACAAAGAACAACAGCUUGGAAAACAAUGCGCCCUUGACACAGAAGUGGCAGCUGCCAGGUUGAUCCUUCCUUAUUUCUUCGUUACAAUUCACAUUAUUUCAGGUCUGAGACCUCAGGGGAGCCCUUUGCUUAUGGAGGCCUGCAACAAGCAGAAGAAAAAGAAACUUGUAUUUCCUCCCCAGCACGGCCACUAGCUUGGGAACCUUGCAAAAGUAACCCCUGCUCCCCAGGUCCUGCUCAGUUCCUUCUUUAUAAAAAGAUAAAGCACCAAAGGCUUUUUCUCUGAGACCUGCAGAUACAAAAUCCCAUAAAACAGCAGGGUGUGGUUUGAUUUCCUGCGUUAUAAAGCCCAGAGACCUUUUAUAGAAUAACAUAAUCACUGAAUCACUGAGUCAUAAAAUGGUUUGGGUUGAAAGGGACCUUAGUGGUCAUCCAGUCCCAGCCCUCCUGCCAUGAGUAGGGACACCUUCCACUGGACCAGGCUGACCACAGCUCCAUCCAGCCUGGCCCCGAGCACUUCCAGGGAUGGCUCACCCACAGCUUCUGUGGGCAGCCUGUGCCAGCAUAUAACCACCCCCACUGUGAAAUAUUUCUUUCUAAAGUAUAACCCAAAUCUACCCUGUUUGAUUUGAGCCAUUACACUUUGUUCUAUCCCUGUACUCCCUGAUGAUGGGUUCCUCUCCAUCUUGCCUGCAGGCCCCUUUAAGUACUGUCAGGCCACAGUGAGGUCUCCUUGGUGUCUCUCCUCCAUGCUGAACAAGCUCAGCUGCCUCAGCCUGUCUCCUGUACUCCAGCCCUCUGAGCAUCUUCAUGGUCCUCUGGACCCCAUACAACAGCUCCACAUCCUUCCUGUGCUGGGAGCCCCAGGCCUGGGCAUAGCGCUGCAGCGGGUGCCUCAUGAGGGUGCUUCCCUUUGUAUUUUUACAAUCAGAACCAUAACUUCUCUCUGGGCCAGACUUGACACUGAGCCUUGUAUGGCUGGCUGGCUCACAGUUUGCAGUGGCCAGCUGCCCCAGCCAGGGCUGAGCACAGGAGCUGGAGGUACCCCAGCAGGGCGUUG